rnacentral:Y_RNA from 1 species
GGCUGGUCUGAAGGUCAUGAGUUAUCUCAAUUAUUUACAAAUUGAAUUCCUUGUUCUACACUUUCUCCCCUUCUCACUAAUGCACUUGACCAGCCUUUU